GCGAUUUUCUAGACACAUCGAAUUUAUUUCUCGUCUGGAGUCUAAGGGACCGCAAUCUGUGAAGAUGUGGAAGAUUCAAGUAAUACUGCUGGCUGUCAUUUUAGUGCAUCGACCAACGCCAUGUAUUAUCGCUCUGAACCACCUGAAGAAAAUGAAUCACCCGGUGCAUUUGAGUCCGAUAUUAUAUUGACCCCGGAACAAGCAGAUGCAAUAGAAGAAGAAAUUGCAAACCAGAAUAUUAGAGGAGGAUAACAAUGACAUCAUGUGUAAUGACAUUAUGAGGUCUAAAUGAAGUCAACAAUCAAGAGUUGAAGGCAUGGUGGAGGGAUACUUUAUUUUGAAUACAUAGAUUAGAUUAGCCUGGCACUGUUCAGUGUCUUCUCAUGUGAAUACAAUAAACAUGCAAUGAACAACAC